UAAUUGAGGCUCAAAUGCUUAAUGGCCG
rnacentral:piRNA from 1 species